GGCGCGGUGGCGGAGUGGCUACGCAGCGGAUUGCAAAUCCGUCUAUACCAGUUCGAUUCUGGUCCGCGCCUCCA
rnacentral:tRNA from 1 species